GGGGGCGUAGUUCAAUGGUAGAACGUAUGCUUUGCAAGCAUAAUGUUAUUGGUUCGAUUCCAAUCGUCUCCA
rnacentral:tRNA from 1 species